ensembl:lncRNA
CUACUCAGCAAGCCACGCGGCCCAGCGGGACAGCACGCGCACCUGAACGAGUGCCCAAAAGCAGGAGCUACGCAAAGAUCGCUGAGCAAACGAAAGUGCUGAGUCACGGAAAGCGGAGUCUCUUCCUCGGAACACUUUCCGUGGCAGGGGAGUCGGAGAUCAGAUCUGGAAUGGAGAGUGAGCCCACAGUCUCUGCCAAAGCUCUCAGAGAUCUUAGCGAUCCGUUUCUCAAGGUCACGCUCGGGGGUCCCGGAUUUUGCACUAGUACAAACCAAUGUCUUACUCUGUUUCAUGGAUGCUGGCAGAAGAUGUCUCUCAACCAUCACAGAGCCCAGUCAGCAUCACCUGGGACGACUGGCUCCUCAGACAAUCUCAGCUCGCAAUCCUGGGGCGGAUUUCUGCGGAACAGUGAGUCUAUCAUAAGCUGUUCCCAAGCCGGGGCUCAAAGUUGCGCCGCAGCAGUGACCUAGAACUUGGCAUCUCCUCUCCUGGAAGGCUCUCCUGGGGACUCUUCGGGCCCCAGGUCAGGCAUCAUCUCUGGAAAGGCCUUUGCUGAUCACCUUGCGGGCGACUCGGAGGCCUAAGCCCCUCCCAGUCCCCUCCGCGGCUCUGUCCGUCUUCACUGUCCGGGUCAGGUCAGACAUCCCGGGCUAAGCCUUCGUGCUCGUGUGGUCACUUAUCAGUCCCCCCUUGUGGAAGAGGAGCCCCACAAGCACAGGGACUUUGUCUUCUUCCUGGCUUCGUUGGCAGUAUAGGACACACUCCGCUCUGUAGAGACUGGCUGAGUUGCAGAAGCUCCCAUUACCUUGGGUGCCCUGCAGCCACCCGCCAAAGGCCGCCGGCAUCUUCCCCAAAGACCCCAAUGACGUCCCCAGGUCUGCUCUGGGCUUCUCACCUGGCUUCCUGGCUUCACACUCUCCACUUUGCUGUCUUUGGGGAGUGGGGGGGGGGGCGCUGUGCCCGUGGCAUACACAGGUUCCCCAGCCAGGGAUGGAUCCCGCGCCACAGCAGCGGCCUGCGCCACAGCACUGAGGAUGCUGAAUUCUUUUUUUUUUUUUUUUUGCCUUUUUGCUAUUUCUUGGGCCGCUCCCGCGGCAUAUGGAGGUUCCCAGGCUAGGGGUCUAAUCGGAGCUGUAGCUGCCAGCCUACACCAGAGCCACAGCAACGCAGGAUCCAAGCCACGUCUGCAACCUACACCACAGCUCACAGCAAUGCCGGAUCCUUAACCCCCUGAGCAAGACCAGGGAUUGAACCCGCAACCUCAUGGUUCCUAGUCGGAUUUGCCAACCACUACGCCAUAAUGGGAACUCCGGAUGCUGAAUUCUUAACCACGAGGCUACCAGGGAACCCCCAUCUUGCUGUCUUUCCCCCACCCAGCCAGAUUCUUUCAGCACAGAAAUUAGAUUUUGUCACUUCCUCUCUAAAAGGCAUCUAAUUGCUUCCUUUUCCACCCUGAACUAAAGCCAGCGACUUAAUUGUGUCCUAAAAAGGCCUGACAGGAUCUGGCUUCGGCUAACCAGAGCUGUUUAUUUCCUACCUCCUGGCCAGUGUCUCUCUCUCUAUGAUUCCUUCUUUUUCCUUAUUGAUUGAUUGAUUGAUUGAUUGUCUUUUUUUAGGGCCACACCACAGCAUGUGGAGGUUCCCAGGCUAGGGGUCCAAUCAGAGCUGUAGCCACCAGUCUACGCCACAGCCACAGCAACGCAGGAUCCGAGCCACAUCCUCAACCUACGCCACAGCUCACAGCAAUGCCAGGGAUCGAACCUGCGUCCUCAGGGACAGUAUUCAGAUUUGUUUCCACUGAGCCACGAAGGGAACGCCUCUGACUCUUUUUUCAUACACUUAAGUUGCAUCCCCAUUAUGCUGGGUCCUGAUGCUCCUUCUCCCCUGUGUCUGGAUGUCCAGACUCGCUGAGGCUCUUCACAGGGGUGGCUCCCCCUUAUCUUUCAGUCCUCAGCUCGGAUUUACCAUCUCAGGCAUGGCUCCCGCACCUGCCAGUUCCCCUCCCAGGACCCCCAGACAUCCUCACCUGGAUUCCACCUGUCGUAUUUGAAAGCCUCUAGUUUUUUUUUUUUCCCUAUGUAUCUUCUCUCUGUCUCCUUAGAUUGUGGCCCUUGAUGGACCAUGUCUGUCAUUUUAAAUUUUCCUCUCAUUUUAUCAAGCUGUAAUUGACAUACAGGACUGCAUAUGUUUAAGGGUACAGCCUAAUGACCUGAUCUGCACACUUCAUGAAUUAAGGAUCACAGUAAGUUUGGUGAACAUCCACCAUCUCCUAGAGAUACAAAAUUAAAGAAAUAGAGGCGUUCCCUAGUGGCUUAGCAGGUUAAGGAUCCGGCGUUGUCACUGCUGUGGUGUGGGUUUGACCUCUGGCCUGGGAACUUCU